CGCUCCGGAGAAGUCCUAUCUUGUAUAGGGUGCCGAAGGUGCAACAGUAUUUAUACUGAAUCUCUCAGGCAAAAGGACGGAGGAU
rnacentral:ncRNA from 1 species